rnacentral:rRNA from 1 species
UACAGAGGUCUCAAGCGUUAAUCGGAGUCACUGGGCUUAAAGGGUGCGUAGGCGGACUCGCAAGUGCUUUGUGAAAUCCCACGGCUCAACCGUGGAAUUGCUUGGCAGACUGCGGGUCUUGAGGUUGGUAGGGGUCGCCGGAACUCUAGGUGGAGCGGUGAAAUGCGUAGAUAUCUAGAGGAACGCCAAAGGUGAAGACAGGCGACUGGGCCAAUUCUGACGCUGAGGCACGAAAGCGUGGGUAGCGAACGGG